rnacentral:misc_RNA from 1 species
CGCAUAAUAUAAGGCAACGCUGCAGAGAGGAAUGAAUCUUGCAGAAAACGAAGUUGAUAGGCGAAAAGCAAUUGCUAUAGUUUAAGCACGUUUGAGCACGAAAACCUACACAUGGAGCGUCGUUUCUGCGUUCUUCUGGCCUUCUUCCUCGUCACCUUAAUUUUGGUAGAAGGCUUUGUACGGCGAGGCAAAGGAGGAUGCUCAAAGAAACCAAAAGGCGGAAAUUGCGCAGCACAGAACAAAACUUGGUAUUAUGAUCCCAAAACCAAAACUUGCAGAGCGGAAUUACUAGGAGUCUGUCCUGGGGCAAAGAUGCGAAACAGUUAUCCUACAUGCGAAGAAUGCCUGAGGAACUGCAGACGUGACUACAAGGCUGUACAAGUUCAGAAGAGCUGCAUACUUCACGCAUAAAUUGCAAGAAGCUCAUCGAAAAUGGAUAAAGCCGCCUGGCUUUAAUAUAAACCCACUUUGAAGGAGACACAAUAAUAUUAAAAUAAAAGGAAAAGUAACAGUAUAAGUGAUUUGUAACGAAUAGCCAUGCAAUUA